UCCCUGGUGGCUCAGAUGGUAAAGAAUCUGCCUACAAUGCAGGAGACCCGGGUUCAAUCCCUGGGUAGGGAA
rnacentral:tRNA from 1 species